CAGUUGGCAGCACAGGCUGUUAUCCAAUCUAUUAUGGGUAAUUCUGAUUCAAGUGAAGUUACAGACUCAAACAAUGCCCACAAUGACUUUAUGCCUGCGGCUGUGAACCCAGGAGCUAGUUUAAGCCUUCCUCUCAGCAAGGGUAAGGAACUGGAAGGUACUGGGUGUACCAACAGCAUACCAAUCAUGUCUAUUCCGAAGACAUGCUCUGGCCAACUUAGAAAUGCUCCAGCAACAUUCCAAUUAUUCAAAAAAACCCAAAUUCGAACCAUCGUCUUGUAUUUGUACCUCCAUUCAACAGUCUCUUGGUGUUGGUUCAAGUUUUGCUAAUGAGAGAAAUCGUAAGAACAAGAAGGCCAAAGGGAACAACCCAGCUUGAUGCUGUGCUCUGUAAGUAACGUUUCAACCUGCUGUAACACUUUGAAUAAGCCCAUCCUUGCAUCCUCAUUCAAGCGUUCGAUGAGAAGUGCAAUUCCAUUUGUGUACCCUGCGCGGUGCUGUUCUGGCGUUCCUCUUCCUUGUUGGACCAUUGAUAUCUUUCCUGCACUGAAUAAGAUACAUUAGGACAAAUAAGUCAUUAUUAGUUAGUAUGUUUUGGUGGUUGUUAUCUGUUGCAGUACUAUGUGGAAUGGUUGAACCCCUUGCUUGUAUUCUGUGUUAGUCGCAUGUGGUUGCUGGGAUCCCUUCUAUGCAAAUUGGAGGGAAUAAAAUCUUCGUUUCGCUUACUCAAAUGUUUGCACUCUUGUAUCGGCAGCCAAUUGAAGUCUCACUUUUUAUGA